UGGGAGGUAAAUUUCUCCUAAGGCUAAAUAACGGCGAGAGACCGAUAGCGAACAAGUACCGUGAGGGAAAGAUGAAAAGAACUUUGAAAAGAGAGUUAAACAGUACGUGAAAUUGUUGAAAGGGAAACGAUUGAAGCCAGUCGUACCUAUGGGUAAUCAGCCUUUUGGGUGUGAUUUUGUGGAGCGUGAGGAGUUAAACGCCUUCAUGCCUGCAUAUUCGUGCACUUUGGGUGUACUUGCCCGUGUGUAAGUUAACAUCAAUUUUGGUGGUCAUAAAAUGGCUGGAGGAAUGUAGCUUUGAUCUUGUAUUGAAGUGUUAUAGCCUUCGGUAGAUGUGACGAUCGGGAUUGAGGAUUGCAACGGAUACCCUUCGGGGCUACCUGUCUGAUCUCUGAUUGUUGCUCUGGUACCGAAAGCUUGCUUACGGUUAUCAAAGUCGAUGGUCAAUAGGUUAGAACGGGUUAAAUUCGUUAAGGAUGUUGACGUAAUGGCUUUAAACGACCCGUCUUGAAACACGGACCAAGGAGUCUAACAUAUAUGCGAGUGUUAGGGUGAAUAAACCCUUACGCGUAAUGAAAGUAAUUUUGGUGGGAUCACUUUUGUGCACCAUCGACC
rnacentral:rRNA from 1 species